CCGCCGCCCGGCGCAGGGGCCGGGAGCAAGUGCACGCCGCGCGGAGGACGAAGAGGCUGCACGCACAGCCGCUGCCGGGGGUCGGGGCCAAGUGCGCGCCUCGCCGAGGACGAAGAGGCUGGCGUGCCCGGUGGCUCGGCUAGCUCCCGGGUCCCGGCCCCGCCUGGAGGAUGCGGCUGUGGGGGAAUGGGAGCGGCCGGACCUCCCAGCCUGACAGUGCAUCAAGAGCUUUGCGGAGCCUACAGCCCGGAUGGGACGACUGAGGCCCUCCCGCUGGCGAGCUGGCCGAGGGCUCGUCCCUCUCCAGCUAAAGCGCCAGCUUACGAUACAGCCAAACUGCCGGCUCUCAUCGGCUGUGGGAGCAGGAGGCCCCCAGGGGUAAAUCCCGGAGCCUCGUCUCUGAAGCCUGGCGCUUGUGUCUCAGAAGAUGGAGUUCCUCUCUUGUGGCCCAGGCUGGAGUGCAAUAGCACCAUCUCGGCUCACUGCAACCUCUGCCUCCCAGGUUCAAGUGAUUCUCCUGCCUUAGCCUCCUGAGUAGCUAGGAUUACAGGUGGCCAUCAUCGAAUCCACUGAGGGCGCAAAUAGAACAAAAAGGUGAAGAAAAGGUGAAUUCUCUCCUUUCUUGAGCUGGGACAUCCAACUUCUCAGACAUCAGAGCUCCUGGAGGCCUUCAGACUCCGAGACAUUACACCAUUGGCUCACCUGGUCCUCAGGUCUUUGGACUUGGAAUGAAUUACACCAUUGGCUUUCCAGGUCUUCCAGCUUGCAGAUGGCAGAUUGUGGGACUUUUCAGCCUCCAUAACUUUGUCAUCCAAUUCCCAUAAUAAAUCGCCUCUUAUAUCU
rnacentral:lncRNA from 1 species